rnacentral:rRNA from 1 species
UAUGUGAUCGUCUCUUGCAUAUCAAUAAGCGGAGGAAAAGAAACUAACAAGGAUUCCCCUAGUAACGGCGAGUGAAGCGGGAAGAGCUCAAAUUUGAAAUCUUAAAGGGUUUCCCUUUACGAAUUGUAGUUUAAAGAAGUGUUUUCUGUUGAGGUUUUGGUAAAAGUUCUUUGGAAUAGGACAUCAUAGAGGGUGAGAAUCCCGUAUUUGACCUUUACUUUCAACUUUGUGAUACACUUUCAAAGAGUCGGAUUGUUUGGGAAUGCAGUCCAAAAUGGGUGGUAAAUUUCAUCUAAAGCUAAAUAUUGGCGAGAGACCGAUAGCGAACAAGUACCGUGAGGGAAAGAUGAAAAGAACUUUGAAAAGAGAGUUAAACAGUACGUGAAAUUGUCAAAAGGGAAGCGUUUGACACCAGUGUUGUUUUUCUGAAAAUCAAUUAAAGAACUGUUUAUGCUAAGCUGUUUAGACUUUAUCAGCUAUCUGUUUAGUUUUGAGCUUUUCUUUAAUGCACUUUUCAGUUAACAAGUCAACAUCAAUUUCUUUUGCUGUAAAAAAGCUUGAGGAAGGUGGCUUGAGAUUCGUCUUAAGUGUUUAUAGCCUCUUGCCUAUGCAGUCGGAGAGAUUGAGGUCUGCAGCGUAGAUCCUUCGGGGCUAAAUGCAUUUGUGCUAAGUUAUAGCAUUUUAUAGACAACUUGUUGACUAUGAUUUGUCUUGUAGCUUACUCGCUUAUGUUAUUUUACCUACGCUUAGGAUGUUGAUCUACAGAGCGAGAGU